UUUGUUAAAAUUGCAAACAUUUUCUUAAAAUGUUCUAUUUGGUAAUGAAAACAAUUUCACAGAUAUUAGUAAGUCUUCACUUUCUUGACUACUUUAUAUUAAUUUUUAAUUUCUUUAAAAAUAUAAAUAUAUUAUUUGUUUUUCAAAGACUGAGUACAUAUGUUUAGGAUUCAAAAUCACCCUAAUAAAAGAGUUAAAUAUCUUCAACAGGAUAGUGAACUAUUUACGUGGCUUUAAUUUGUCAGUCUUGUAAAUGAUUUGACAGAACUAACUAGUGAAAACUAACCCAAACCAGAAAUCACUGGGGAGAAUCAUCAAGAAGGAAAAAGGAAGAGUUGCAGGAAAUGAUAUUUUCCCAUCAGUGGACAGGCAUGCAUACAUUAAAAGCAUAAAAGGCAGCAGAGGGAGAAACAAAAGCUGUAUACUGAGGAUUCUGCAACUCUGAAUUAACUAAAUGGAAAAAAAUGAAAUCAUUCUGCUUUAACUUGUUCCCUAAUAAAGGAGAAUUGCUUUUGUUAAAUAUGCUUGGUGUGAUUAUCAGGCAAAAUUUUUUCUCCCAGGCAUCUAUGAAUAAAACAUGUGUUUGAGCAUUAGGUAAACAAAUAAUAAAUGGAUGAGUUCAGUUGCAACAUAAUAACAUUUUAUUUAGAAAACAUAUAUAAUCAUAUUUGUAUUGGCAAUCCAAAUUUAAUGACUUCUUUCAGUAAAAUUAAAGUGCCUCACAAAUAACAUCUUAUGCAUAAGGAUUGCUUAUUCUUUGCCCAUAUUUUCUAUUUUUCAAAGAAACAGAUUUUUAACCAUACAUAAACCAGAUGAAGAACAAUUUCUCAGAGAAAAAAAUUCUUUUGAAUCAUCUUGAUUUUAGGUUACAGAUUAUAAAACUAAAUUUUAAAAUACAUUUCUGAGACUGAGGGAGAAAAAUAUUCUUAAGCCUGGUAUAGCUUGGGCUGAUUUGACAAAGCUCUGUGUGGAGCUGAACCUCAGUCUUUGGCUUAUUAGCCAUUUCAUUAACGCAACAUCUUCUGUAAACUAUGAAUGAGAAGAAACCGUUUACAACAAGGAAAGCAAACAACAGAAUGAAUUUCCUCUGUUGGUGUUUUAUAAGACUGUUAAACAGAAAAUGGAGGGAAGAACUCUCUUUAGACGAUAUCACUUAAUUAAGUAAAGCAUCCUAAUCAGAGUCCCCUCCAAUUGUAAUGACUGUAGGGAGUCAAGUACAUUUCUGUCUGUAUUAGAGUAUCUAACUGCAAUGAUUUAUUGAUAUUUAUUUUAGAAGUACAACACAAAAGCAAUAAAACAGAAGAAGCAGGGAGAGAGGGUGCAUGCCACGGCUUUCUGCAGGUACAGCCAGAGCACUUCAACAGAAUUCCUGAUUUUCUUGUAGGAGAUUUUACUUUCUAAAAUCAGAGCACACCUUUGGAUGAGAUGGCUUCGUUCCUGCAUUUGACUUUUCCAAACAGUCACUGUACUGUUUCUUUGUCCAUUGGGUGAAUCAUUGAUUCACUUUCUUCACUGUAAGAAUCACCACAAAUGAGUGGAUGAGCACCUGCAGUGACAUUACUGGAUGGCAUGCUACACUGAUUUUAGUCUUAAAACACAGCUUCUUUGUAUCGGAGAGAGAUUCGAGGAAGGAGAGUAAAUAUGCUAUAUAGGCAGACAGACAUUGGCUGCCCUCCAAGCUGCACACAGCAUAAACCUGUUUAUCUGCCACAUUUCACAAAUCUCAAAAACAUGUGAAUAAUCAGGCAAGCAACUGGAUAAGUGAUUCACACUAGGGAAUCCGACCCAUAUUCUGAUGAGAGAGUACUAUAAUGUUAAGACAUUGGGGCAAAGAGAUGUAUUUUAGAAACUGCACAUAAUAAAAUUGAUUAGUGGUUCAAAGGAGAAAUUGUUCUAUGAAUUUGAAGAGGUAUCCGAACCCUAUGGACUUCUUUGGGUAUGUGUGGGCAAGAUGUCUGCAGAAUUGAGUUCAAAACUAUACUUCCACCCAUGUAACUCCAAUAAUAGGGCCCCAUGAGCAUUUGGACUUUACAUUAGUUGUCAAGAUAAUUUAUUUCUGGACACCUCCUUCUAGGUAUUGAAAGUCUUUAAACCCUAAGUUAUGCCAACACGUAUAUUUGACAUUAAAUUACCAAAUGAUUAGAACUUAUUCUAGUAAGAAUAAGUUUUGUGGAAGCAAACUUUUCUUGGAAAGUUACAUUUAUUUUCAUAAUUGGAGAUGAACUGCUUGGUAAUAAGUGAAUUAGGCAAGCAAAGGUAUUAUACUAUUGCUUUAUUUUCCUCUUAAUUUUUGUUAUUUCUUCCUCAUUGCUGAUGUUUUAACCCCUCUUUUCCUUAUUUCAGUGGUUAUUGUGCAUUUAGUUGCAAGUGGAAAUUCUUAAAGGUUUGGGGGAUAACCUAAGAAGUAUGCUUUGGUUUUGAAGAUCUCUUAAAAUUGUUUAUAAAUUCCAGGCUUGGAUUACUUCUAUAAACUAUACCUGGUUAUAAUCACAGCAAGAUUAAUGAUCUAUUUGCUUGGUUUGUCUGUUUGGAGCUUCUAGUAUAAACCUACCAUCUUACUACCAAGGAAAUGUAGAUUUUUCUAUAUUUGUAAACACAAAAUGCUAUUACAAAAAGACAAAAAAAAUCAUGCAAGAUAUUUAAAUUAAUGUUGUACAGCCUCAACUUUUUUUCCUGCAUUGCAGACAGAAAGGCAAAUUGCAAAACUUCUUGAUACCAGAAAACUUUGUUAAAUUAGUAACCAAAGACAUCAUCAUCUUAGCAACCAGAAGUCUUGAAAAAGGUAGGUGCAUGGAAAUUUAUACCCCAAAUGAAAUUCGCUAUGUUCAAGUUUCAUGAGUAAAGUGUUGCUUCAAGAGAACCUAUUUGGAGUUUAUUGUCAAUUGUAUCUACCAACUACUUUUUUCUCACCUUAGCAUUUUCUCAUCUUCUCGUUUCUUGUCUCAGGUUCUCUUUCUUCAGGAUCAGGCACAGAGACUGACUGAAUGGUUCCAAUUAUCAGGAUUUGAAAACUUACUCUCAGAAUCUACCACUUUGUGUAAGUCUUCCCUGAGUAGUCUCUUCUUUAGCAGCAGGGCUCUUGCAUAAUAUGGAAGCAUCUUUUCUUCUUCACUUCCUGUAGGCUUGUGAAAUAUGGUACGAAGUUUUGCAUGAUUUUUGAUCCUAGUGCAUGGAAAAUCUUGCUGGAGGCACAAGAUACAAACUAAAAUUCAUUCCUUAAAAGAUGUGCACAGCAUAACAGCUUGGAGUUUUCAAUGCACAGAGAAGGCUUCAUGAGGUGUCGAGUGGAUCCAUUUGCUCAGUGAUAAAGCAGAGGGAACAAAAGAAGAAAUCGAACCAGAGGUCCUCUGGUUCCUUUUGAGCACUUGUAUCUGUGAUCAAGGAGAAGGGUAAGACAAGGCUGAGGACUCAGCCUUCCGGGCACCAGAUGGCAACUCUGAUUAAAGAGUAUUUACUUCGUUUUAAAAAAACGGCCCAACCAAUAUAUAUGACUGCUAGAAAACUAGAGCGUAUGGGUAAGCAAAAUGGAGAAUACAAUAAUCACCCUAACUACCUUCCAGAAGUUUGAAAAGCUCACAGGGUAUCAAUUUGUGUUGCUGCUUCCCCACACAAGAGUGCUGUGAGGAAUCAGAAUUCAUCCCGCCCUGUCUGAACCCCCCGCAGGAGCCCUGGCGUUCUGCACGGAGGUGUUCCUCCACAAACGCAUUUCAAUCAAGGCUUUAAAGUGGCAUACUGAGUACAAUCUCACUAAUUCCUGUGAUGACAGGACAGGAUAGAAAUUCAGGAACUAGAUUUUAAAAUUCUACUUCUUAUACUGCCAUUGUUUUCCUUCACAGAACUCUCUAAAGUUUGGAACAAAAUAUUAAACUUUUCCAGAGAAACUCAGAAUGUUAGUGCUACAGGUCUGUCAUCCAGGGUUUAACAAAUCUUGAGCUCCACCUCUUGCAGGGCCUCAAACUGCUCUUCUUUCACUUCCGCACUUCUAAUUUCCACCCUAGGUCUUGAGUGGGAGUGAAAUGGAGUCCCAGGUCUAGGCUAAAAGUGUCCCCACUUUAGGAUUCAAAUCAUCUGCCCUUGUCUUGGACUAAGGGGAAGGGAGUCAGGUGGGACUAGCCCAGCCCAGUUACAAUCCUUAGAUGUUAGAGCAGAGCAGUCACUGUGAGUACCUCAGGGUGAGUCUCAUUUGCCCUAGGUCCAGAUUUAAUGGACUCAGUACUGAGUCUUGCAAGAGAGAGAGGACUGUGACUGAAAACCAGAAGACCCAUCUUCACCAAGCCUGUUAAGACGUCACAGAGCCAGCCAUACUGCUUUAGGAACAUCUGAUGUGGACAGUCCCAGACUAACCCUGCCCUUCAUCAGCAGGGCGGUGGAUGGCACUGGUUUGAAGAGCUUACCAGCCCCCCUGUAGCUAGUCAGCCUGGAGAUGUCUUUGGAAACCACAGGCCCUGGCCACGGCUGUCACCGCUUGUCUGUCAGCAUCAUCUUCAGGCCUAAGGAAGAGGGGGAAGCAGCAAACACACCUGCGUCUGCCCUGUGCCCAGUGCAGGAAUGGAGCUUGACCUGCUUCAUCCAGCGAGCCUGCUGAGAAGGGGGAGGGCGUCGGACGUCAAGGCGUUGUCAAGAAGGACAUUCACUGAAAUAAAGGCACUGACUUCAGUAUCGGGCAAGUGGUGUCUUCUUAUACCUAAUCCCUUACCCUAGUUUUUUGUUCUUUCUGAGUCUGAUCUGUACCUGUUUUACUGAGUUUCAGCUAUGAGGGUAGUAGAAACAAAUUAGAAAGAACAUUUUAUACCUUUUUUCUAUAUUGGAUUCAUGCUAAUGUGAACCUGUU